GACGAACGCUGGCGGCGUGCUUAACACAUGCAAGUCGAACGGAAAGGCCCUGCUUUUGUGGGGUGCUCGAGUGGCGAACGGGUGAGUAACACGUGAGUAACCUGCCCUUGACUUUGGGAUAACUUCAGGAAACUGGGGCUAAUACCGGAUAGGAGCUCCUGCUGCAUGGUGGGGGUUGGAAAGUUUCGGCGGUUGGGGAUGGACUCGCGGCUUAUCAGCUUGUUGGUGGGGUAGUGGCUUACCAAGGCUUUGACGGGUAGCCGGCCUGAGAGGGUGACCGGCCACAUUGGGACUGAGAUACGGCCCAGACUCCUACGGGAGGCAGCAGUGGGGAAUAUUGCACAAUGGGCGGAAGCCUGAUGCAGCAACGCCGCGUGCGGGAUGACGGCCUUCGGGUUGUAAACCGCUUUCGCCUGUGACGAAGCGUGAGUGACGGUAAUGGGUAAAGAAGCACCGGCUAACUACGUGCCAGCAGCCGCGGUGAUACGUAGGGUGCGAGCGUUGUCCGGAUUUAUUGGGCGUAAGGGGCUCGUAGGUGGUUGAUCGCGUCGGAAGUGUAAUCUUGGGGCUUAACCCUGAGCGUGCUUUCGAUACGGGUUGACUUGAGGAAGGUAGGGGAGAAUGGAAUUCCUGGUGGAGCGGUGGAAUGCGCAGAUAUCAGGAGGAACACCAGUGGCGAAGGCGGUUCUCUGGGCCUUUCCUGACGCUGAGGAGCGAAAGCGUGGGGAGCGAACAGGCUUAGAUACCCUGGUAGUCCACGCUGUAAACGGUGGGUACUAGGUGUGGGGUCCAUUCCACGGGUUCCGUGCCGUAGCUAACGCUUUAAGUACCCCGCCUGGGGAGUACGGCCGCAAGGCUAAAACUCAAAGGAAUUGACGGGGCCCCGCACAAGCGGCGGAGCAUGCGGAUUAAUUCGAUGCAACGCGUAGAACCUUACCUGGGUUUGACAUGGAUCGGGAGUGCCCAGAGAUGGGUGUGCCUCUUUUGGGGUCGGUUCACAGGUGGUGCAUGGCUGUCGUCAGCUCGUGUCGUGAGAUGUUGGGUUAAGUCCCGCAACGAGCGCAACCCUUGUUCACUGUUGCCAGCACGUUAUGGUGGGGACUCAGUGGAGACCGCCGGGGUCAACUCGGAGGAAGGUGGGGAUGACGUCAAGUCAUCAUGCCCCUUAUGUCCAGGGCUUCACGCAUGCUACAAUGGCUGGUACAGAGAGUGGCGAGCCUGUGAGGGUGAGCGAAUCUCGGAAAGCCGGUCUCAGUUCGGAUUGGGGUCUGCAACUCGACCUCAUGAAGUCGGAGUCGCUAGUAAUCGCAGAUCAGCAACGCUGCGGUGAAUACGUUCCCGGGGCU
rnacentral:rRNA from 1 species